AUUGAACGCUGGCGGCAGGCCUAACACAUGCAAGUCGAGCGGAUGAAGGGAGCUUGCUCCUGGAUUCAGCGGCGGACGGGUGAGUAAUGCCUAGGAAUCUGCCUGGCAGUGGGGGAUAACGUCCGGAAACGGGUGCUAAUACCGCCUACGUCCUGAGGGAGAUAGUGGGGGAUCUUUGGACCUCUCGCUAUCAGAUGAGCGUAGGUCGGAUUAGCUAGUUGGUGGGGUAAAGGCCUACCAAGCAGACGUUUCGUAACUGGUCUGUGAGGAUGAGCAGUCACACUGGAGCUGAGACACGGUCCAGACUCCUGCGAGAGGGAGCAGUGGGGAAUAUGGGACAAUAGUCGAGAGCCUGAUCCAGCCAUGCCACGUGUGUGAAGAAAAUCUUCGGAUUGUAAAGCACUUUAAGUUGGGAGGAAGGGCAGUAAGUUAACACCUUGCUGUUUUGACGUUACCAACAGAAUAAGCACCGGCUAACUACGUG
rnacentral:rRNA from 1 species